GACAGAGGGGGCAAGCGUUGCUCGGAAUUAUUGGGCGUAAAGAGCUCGUAGGCGGCUUGUCACGUCGGGUGUGAAAGACCGGGGCUUAACUCCGGUUCUGCAUUCGAUACGGGCUAGCUAGAGUGUGGUAGGGGAGAUCGGAAUUCCUGGUGUAGCGGUGAAAUGCGCAGAUAUCAGGAGGAACACCGGUGGCGAAGGCGGAUCUCUGGGCCAUUACUGACGCUGAGGAGCGAAAGCGUGGGGAGCGAACAGG
rnacentral:rRNA from 1 species